rnacentral:misc_RNA from 1 species
GAAAUGCGAUAAGUAGUGUGAAUUGCAGAAUUCAGUGAAUCAUCGAAUCUUUGAACGCACAUUGCGCCCCUUGGUAUUCCAUGGGGCAUGUCUGUUCGAGCGUCAUUUGUACCUUCAAGCUUUGCUUGGUGUUGGGUGUUUGUCUCGCCUCUGCGCGCAGACUCGCCUCAAAACAAUUGGCAGCCGGCGUAUUGAUUUCGGAGCGCAGUACAUCUCGCGCUUUGCACUCAUAACGACGACGUCCAAAAAGUACAUUUUUUACACUCUUGACCUCGGAUCAGGUAGGGAUACCCGCUGAACUUAAGC